AAUGAACGCUGGCGGUAGGCCUAACACAUGCAAGUCGAACGGCAGCACAGUAAGAGCUUGCUCUUACGGGUGGCGAGUGGCGGACGGGUGAGGAAUACAUCGGAAUCUACUUUUUCGUGGGGGAUAACGUAGGGAAACUUACGCUAAUACCGCAUACGACCUACGGGUGAAAGCAGGGGAUCUUCGGACCUUGCGCGAUUGAAUGAGCCGAUGUCGGAUUAGCUAGUUGGCGGGGUAAAGGCCCACCAAGGCGACGAUCCGUAGCUGGUCUGAGAGGAUGAUCAGCCACACUGGAACUGAGACACGGUCCAGACUCCUACGGGAGGCAGCAGUGGGGAAUAUUGGACAAUGGGCGCAAGCCUGAUCCAGCCAUACCGCGUGGGUGAAGAAGGCCUUCGGGUUGUAAAGCCCUUUUGUUGGGAAAGAAAAGCAGCAGGUUAAUACCCCGCUGUUCUGACGGUACCCAAAGAAUAAGCACCGGCUAACUUCGU
rnacentral:rRNA from 1 species